GAAAUAUUCUUUUUAUAUAGAAAAACAGAUCAUUACGUACGAAUAUUGUUGUACUGAAUAGGAUAUUUACAUGAAAUGGAACAUGUUUUAUCAAUCUGUUUCACAAUUUUCACUUAAUUCAUAAAACAAUAAUGGCAUUACCCGAAUAUGUGAUAACUUUAAUAGGAAAUGACACAGUAGGGAAAACAUCUAUAGUGAACAGAUUAAAAUAUAGAAAUUAUCAACCGCACUACCUCUAUACCCAGGGGGUUGAUAAAGUUAGAAUACCGAACUUCGAAGUUGGAAACGACUUAGUUAGUUUAUUAAUUUUUGACACAGGUGGGCACCAUAUACAAAGGGGUAUUAUUCAUAAGUUUAUAGACG